UACGUAGGGGGCAAGCGUUGUCCGGAAUCAUUGGGCGUAAAGCGCGCGUAGGCGGCCCGGUAAGUCCGCUCUGAAAGUCCAGGGCUCAACCCUGGAAAGCGGGUGGAUACUGCCGGGCUAGAAUCCGGAAGAGGCGAGUGGAAUUCCUGGUGUAGCGGUGAAAUGCGCAGAUAUCGGGAGGAACACCAAUGGCGAAGGCAGCUCGCUGGGACGUGACUGACGCUGAGACGCGAAAGCGUGGGGAGCGAACAGG
rnacentral:rRNA from 1 species